AUUUCUAUGCAUGGGCUACUACAAAAAUAGGCUCAAAAUAAUACACAGGUCUGGGGGCCUUAAAGAAGCUUGUGCCAGGGCUGAAUUUACUCUCACCUCAGCUACAGGAGAAGUCUUUGUCCAAGGUUCUAUCCUUCCAUUUCCAAUCAGCAAGUGUUUUUUCUGGAAGAAAAUAUUCCAAAUGCCCAUCAUUGUUCUGAGCACUUUGGAGGAACAGGGUAUACACAGUGGGCAGUGGAGUCUGUUGCGGAAGAUGGGAAGGCGUGCUAAUCGAAUGCAUCAAGACCACUGUGUCCAGUGUACACUCGGCUUAACUCAGAUCUGACUGCUCCUGCAUACACCCUGGGCCCAGAGAUGGCACCACCCACAGUGAGCUCUUACAUCAAUCAUCAAACAAGAAAAGGCACCACAGGUCCAUCUGGUUGGGAGCAUUUUCUCAAUUGAGGUUCCCUCCUUCCCAAUGACUCCAGCCUGUGCCAAGAUGAUAUUAAAACUAGCCAGUACAAUGCUUUAUGCUGAUUUGUGAUUAAUUCCACAUAUUAGAUCCUGGCUAAUUUAUUUUAAAGGUGUAUGGCAGUAUGUCUAUUUACUAAUUCCUCUUCUUUAUAGAUAUUCCAAGAAGUCUACAAAUGAACACCGAUAAUAGCAGUCUGGACAAUGAUACAUUGUGCUAUUAGUGUUAGAUUAUUAUUAUUUUGAAGAGUCACAUGUAUAACAAACAGGAUGCAACUGGACAUGGCGGGCAACUGUUGCUAAGCUGAGAACAACAAAGGAUUAGAUUCUCGUUAUUACUCACAGUUGUCCCAAAUAUCUUCGUAUGCCUGGCUUCUCGGAUUUUUUUUCCUUCAGUUUGGCAGGAAGUCUUAAAGAAGCAAACAGCAUGCCCUUCCGCCCUGGCAUAUUCAUAAGCUAUUUUGGGAUGAGUCAUCGGAAUUCUGUGGUUUGUAUAUCCUGAAGGGAGAAAGAAGACACUGUAUGGUUAACAUUUAUUUGAAAGAGCAAAUUGGAAAGAAAAAUUCUUUGAUAAAGUUCAGCAUUAGGUAAAAAAAAAAAAAAUGCCUGUGGAUCUUUACACUGUUGUAAAGAUUUUGCUUGUGUGCCCAUCUCUGGGAAUACCAUACCACAGUAACUCUUCAUGCUGAACUCUCAGUUUGACUUAGUGCCUGUAGAAGUCUGAACAGGUGUUUAGCAGAAGUAAUUCACAGGCAGUAAACAAAUGACUGUUUCUUUCAUUGGAGUUGAUGCUAUAUGUGAAGAUCUAGAGGCCAAGUCAUCUAUCUGAGACUGUUGGGUCACACUGCCAAUACUGUCACUGUAGAUUAUGAUUGAGUCCACUCUGUCAUCUAUGACAAUAAAAAGUACUGGUCAAGAA